GGAAAGGGCAGAAAGUAGCUUCACUCAUCACUUGUAAUGUUAGUGGUUACCGCCAUACCCAUCAGCGCUGCCUCACAGGAAUCUGACGUUUCUUGGGGAGACGUAGACGCAUAUGGAUGUUGAUUUCUGGCCCUCAAGAGUCUACGCUAAGCACCUCUCUGCUGUACAAGCUGACAGAUACAACUCUGAUAAUAAUUUGGCAAUGGAUGAUUCGGAUGGAGAUGAGGAUUCAAGAGCGUAUUUUCCAUGCCCCUUCUGCUAUGUAGACAUUGAAGUCCAUGUGCUCUGCAGCCAUCUGCAGGAUGAACACUGCUUUGACUUAAAAAAUGCAGUAUGUGCUUCUUUUUAUCUUAUAAUACAGUGUGCGAGUGUGUGUGGGUCAUGGCCCAUGGGUCGUGAACAUGUGUGUGUAUGCCUAUCAGGCAUAUCUAUUUGUAUGUAUAGAUAUGAUUGGCAUCUUUAACUAGGCUUUUUGACAAUCAAUGAAUCAUCAAAUUACAUUGGUAUGGAUUCCUUUCUUGCCCACCCUAGCUGCUGUGGCCCCACACACUCCAACUCAAGGUUGCUUCUUCUGGCCAAUAUGACACACAUAACACAUUGUAAAGUUUCUCAAGGAUAUUGUCCAACGUGAUUUGUUGAGGGGAUGGAAGUUAUAUAGCAAGCAUUGUAAAUGAAGAUCAUACUCUGCAGCACUCAAUUCUUUAUGCUAUCUAUUGAAAUUUGAAUUUGAUGGUGACUUGAAUGUUGUUCUUUCAGGUAUGUCCACUUUGUGCAGCAAAUUUAGGGAAAGAUGUGAUUGGGCAUUUUAUAGUAAACCAUGCAAGUUCAUUGACGGUACUUUUCACUUGUUUUAGGUCUUCAGGUGUAUGCAACUCAUCUCAUCUUUGGUCUUGAUUCUUGAAGUACAUUGGAUUGCUACAUUUAUUACUUUUUGAUAUAACAUAUGCAUGAAUUGUACAAUCCAGUAAGCAUAAUUUAUGUUUGAAUUCACUAGAUUUUUUUUAAUGCUUUGCAGCGCAGGAGAAAGUCUUUAAAAUCUGGUCUCUGGACCGGUAGUUCAGCUAUGAUUGGCAAGGAACUUAGCUCAUUUCUUGGAUCUUCAACAAAUGGUAGGGCAAACACAAACGAAUCUGCACCAGAUCCACUUCUAUCACCAUUUCUUGGCAGUGGAUCCCAUUCACACCCUCAAGGAAGCCAAGAAGAUGAAUCUUCCAAUAUAACUGCCCAUUUAAAAAGCACUGAGACACCUUCACUUGAUGGAGGUGAUGAGAUGGAUUCUGAAGAGAGAAGGCAUAGAGCAGCAUUUGUUCAAGAGUUGAUUUCCUCAACCAUCUUCUAAAGCUUUGUCAGUUUUCUGCGUGAUGCAAACGGUUGCACUACUCAUCGUUCACCACCUAUAAAUGAUGUUGCAUCUACAGACACUGGGGUUUUUAUUACUGGUGCAUGGAUUUAGGAAAGCUAAACAUCGUGGAGUGGAUGGUGAAUGGCUAAGUCGGGAAUCAAAUACAUCUUGUAUUUAAUGUCUCUACAUAUAUGUAGCCUCUUAAAAACUACAUUUAUCUAAUGAAUACUGAGUAGAAAACAAAACUCUUCUAUUCUUAAUGCUAAAGCUAGUCUUCACUACCGUCUCCAGAAAACGAAUUUACCAAUUCGUUUAGAACGUUUGCUAUUAGGAUGUGGAAGGUGACAUUAACUUUUGUUAUUUAGUUGCCUUCUGCCUUUCCCCGACUUUCCAUUGACCCUCUGUGACACUCGAUUGCCGCUUUGCACUCUUGAAAUGCUUCACCAGGCGAAAGCGUACCCAUGCAGCUUGAAAGGAAUCUUGACAACCCACUUCAAAGAAACUAGGAGAUUGGUGGGAUCCAGGUAUCCACCGAUCACACAGUUUUUCAUACACUGCCCCUUGAAGCUCAAGAUACUUGUAAAUUGCAAAUAUAGAAAAGCCACACCCCCUCCUAUAAAACCAACGUCCCCUUGAUCAUGGGACGAUGCAGGUCAUAGAAAACUAUCAUUCUAAAGAAUCCAAUCUAUCAAGUU
rnacentral:misc_RNA from 1 species